GCGCGAGUGGCUCAGUGGUGGAGCGUCGCCUUGCCAAGGCGAAGGCCGCGGGUUCGAAUCCCGUCUCGCGCU
rnacentral:tRNA from 1 species